GGCUGGGUAGCUCAGUUGGUAGAGCAGCGGACUGAAAAUCCGCGUGUCGCCGGUUCGAUUCCGGCCCCAGCCACCA
rnacentral:tRNA from 1 species